rnacentral:miRNA from 1 species
UAGGCUGGUGCAAAAGUGAUUGCAGUUUUUGCCAUUACUUUCAAUGGCAAAAACUGCAAUCACUUUUGCACCAGCUUAAUA